GGGCCCGUAUCUCAGUCCGGUUAGAGAGGUCGGCUCAUAACCGACUCGUCCUUGGUUCAAAUCCGAGCGGGCCCA
rnacentral:tRNA from 1 species